AUUGAACGCUGGCGGCAGGCCUAACACAUGCAAGUCGAACGGUAACAGGAAGCAGCUUGCUGCUUCGCUGACGAGUGGCGGACGGGUGAGUAAUGUCUGGGAAACUGCCUGAUGGAGGGGGAUAACUACUGGAAACGGUAGCUAAUACCGCAUAACGUCGCAAGACCAAAGGGGGGGACCUUCGGGCCUCGUGCCAUCGGAUGUGCCCAGAUGGGAUUAGCUAGUAGGUGGGGUAACGGCUCACCUAGGCGACGAUCCCUAGCUGGUCUGAGAGGAUGACCAGCCACACUGGAACUGAGACACGGUCCAGACUCCUACGGGAGGCAGCAGUGGGGAAUAUUGCACAAUGGGCGCAAGCCUGAUGCAGCCAUGCCGCGUGUAUGAAGAAGGCCUUCGGGUUGUAAAGUACUUUCAGCGGGGAGGAAGGCGACAGGGUUAAUAACCCUGUCGAUUGACGUUACCCGCAGAAGAAGCACCGGCUAACUCCGUGCCAGCAGCCGCCGUAAGAC
rnacentral:rRNA from 1 species